AGUGAACGCUGGCGGUAGGCCUAACACAUGCAAGUCGAACGGCAGCACAGUAAUAGCUUGCUCUUACGGGUGGCGAGUGGCGGACGGGUGAGGAAUACAUCGGAAUCUACUUUUUCGUGGGGGAUAACGUAGGGAAACUUACGCUAAUACCGCAUACGACCUACGGGUGAAAGCAGGGGAUCUUCGGACCUUGCGCGAUUGAAUGAGCCGAUGUCGGAUUAGCUAGUUGGCGGGGUAAAGGCCCACCAAGGCGACGAUCCGUAGCUGGUCUGAGAGGAUGAUCAGCCACACUGGAACUGAGACACGGUCCAGACUCCUACGGGAGGCAGCAGUGGGGAAUAUUGGACAAUGGGCGCAAGCCUGAUCCAGACAUCCCGCGUGGGUGAAGAAGGCCUUCGGGUUGUAAAGCCCUUUUGUUGGGAAAGAAAAGCAGCAGGUUAAUACCCCGCUGUUCUGACGGUACCCAAAGAAUAAGCACCGGCUAACUUCGUG
rnacentral:rRNA from 1 species